rnacentral:rRNA from 1 species
GAUGAACGCUGGCGGCAGGCUUAACACAUGCAAGUCGAACGCAUCCUUCGGGGUGAGUGGCAGACGGGUGAGUAACGCGUGGGAACGUGCCCUUCAGUUCGGGAUAACCCAGGGAAACUUGGGCUAAUACCGGAUACGUGCGAGAGCAGAAAGAUUUAUCGCUGAAGGAUCGGCCCGCGUCUGAUUAGCUAGUUGGUGGGGUAAUGGCCCACCAAGGCGACGAUCAGUAGCUGGUCUUAGAGGAUGAUCAGCCACAUUGGGACUGAGACACGGACCAAACUCCUACGGGAGGCAGCAGUGGGGAAUAUUGGACAAUGGGCGCAAGCCUGAUCCAGCCAUGCCGCGUGAGUGAUGAAGGCCUUAGGGUUGUAAAGCUCUUUCGUCCGGGACGAUAAUGACGGUACCGGAAGAAGAAGCCCCGGCUAACUUCGUGCCAGCAGCCGCAGUAA